AUACAAAACCUUCUUAUGAUAUUUUUUUUGAUUAUUAGCAAGUUGUCUUUAUCGCCCAUCAAUUCUUAUUUCUCCAACAAUCAUUAAAGAAUCAAUAUUUUGGAAGUAGCAUAUUGUUACUACCGGUUAAUAUAGUGGGAGGCACAACAAAAAAUUAUCGUAGUUGUGUCAUGCAAAUCUAUUGAAUCUCCUAUCAUUUUAUUUGAGUUUUUGUUUUAGCCAUCAUUGCAACAUUUUUUUUUAAUAUCUAAAUAUAUUUGAGGAUCCAUUAGAAUAAAUGCCAUCUUUCUCACCAUACUACGUCAUUUGAAUCAAAAAUACGAUGGUG
rnacentral:lncRNA from 1 species